GACGAACGCUGGCGGCGUGCUUAACACAUGCAAGUCGAACGGAAAGGCCCUGCUUUUGUGGGGUGCUCGAGUGGCGAACGGGUGAGUAACACGUGAGUAACCUGCCCUUGACUUUGGGAUAACUUCAGGAAACUGGGGCUAAUAUCGGAUAGGAGCUCCUGCUGCAUGGUGGGGGUUGGAAAGUUUCGGCGGUUGGGGAUGGACUCGCGGCUUAUCAGCUUGUUGGUGGGGUAGUGGCUUACCAAGGCUUUGACGGGUAGCCGGCCUGAGAGGGUGACCGGCCACAUGGGGACUGAGAUACGGCCCAGACUCCAACGGGAGGCAGCAGUGGGGAAUAUUGCACAAUGGGCGGAAGCCUGAUGCAGCGACGCCGCGUGCGGGAUGACGGCCUUCGGGUUGUAAACCGCUUUCGCCUGUGACGAAGCGUGAGUGACGGUAAUGGGUAAAGAAGCACCGGCUAACUACGUG
rnacentral:rRNA from 1 species